CCUACGGGUGGCAGCAGUGGGGAAUAUUGCACAAUGGGGGAAACCCUGAUGCAGCGACGCCGCGUGAAGGAAGAAGUAUUUCGGUAUGUAAACUUCUAUCAGCAGGGAAGAAAAUGACGGUACCUGACUAAGAAGCCCCGGCUAACUAGGUGCCAGCAGCCGCGGUAAUACGUGGGGGGCACACGUUAUCCGGAUGUAAUGGGUGUAAAGGGAGCGAAGGGGGUUUAGCAAGGCAGAAGGGAAGGCCCUGGGCUCAACUCCGGAACUGCUUUUGAAACUGUUGAACUAGAGUGCAGGAGAGGUAAGUGGAAUUCCUAGUGUAGCGGUGAAAUGCGUAGAUAUUAGGAGGAACACCAGUGGCGAAGGCGGCUUACUGGACUGUAAAUGACGCUGAGGCUCGAAAGCGUGGGGAGCAAACAGGAUUAGAUACCCGGGUAGUC
rnacentral:rRNA from 1 species